GGCUUCGAAAUAACUCUGUGAUCAUUCCUGACUGGCCCAACCAGAUCCCUGACCUAAAUUAAGCAUAUCUGGAGAGACCUGAACAUGGCUUCAUCAUCGUUCACCGCCCAACCUGACGAAACUGGAGAAAAUCUGCACUGAAGAAUGGCUGAGGAUCCCCAAAUUCAGAUGUGAAAAACUUGUUGCAUCAUUACCAAUAAAACUCAUUGCUGUACCAGCUUAAAAGGGUGUUUCUACUCAAUACUGAGCAAAGAGUCUGAAUACUUAUGACCAUGUGAUAUUUCAGUUUUUGUUUUUAAAGAAAUUUGCAAAAAUUUCUACAUUUCUGUUUUUUCUGUCAAGAUGGAAUGCUGAGUGUAUAUUCAUGAGAAAUAACAUGAACUUUUUUGUUUUUAGCAAAUUGCUACAAUGAAACGGAGUCUGAAUACUUCCCAUACCCAUUGUGAGUAAGCAGGAAUUAUUUAUAUUUCCUCAAUUUUUAUUUGGCAAAAAUGUAGCAUUCGUUAAGAAAGGAUUAAGUUCAGAAUCAGAUAAUACUGUCUUUAUCUUGAUUUAAAUGUUAUCCUUCUAGCUGAGAGACUAAUUCAAAUGUUCUUUUUGCAUUCUUAGAUGCAACACUAUCAUCAUCCAUUGUCUGAAGCCAAAUUUUGUGAAGCUUCCUGGGAUCUUUGAUGUAGACUAUAUGUCUCUUCAGCUGAGACACUCAGGCGUACUGGAGACAAUUCACAUCCGAAAAGAAGGUUUCCCUAUCAGGAUUCAAUACUCAUGCUUCAUUGAGAGGUACUAACACGCACAUACACCAAACCUGACUACAGCAUCACCUGUAAUCAUAG